CCAUCGAGUCUUUGAACGCAAGUUGCGCCCGAGGCCAUCCGGCCGAGGGCACGCCUGCCUGGGCGUCACG
rnacentral:rRNA from 1 species